UACGAAGGGGGCUAGCGUUGCUCGGAAUCACUGGGCGUAAAGCGCACGUAGGCGGCUUUCUAAGUCAGGGGUGAAAGCCUGUGGCUCAACCACAGAAUUGCCUUCGAUACUGCAUGGCUUGAGACCGGAAGAGGUAAGUGGAACUGCGAGUGUAGAGGUGAAAUUCGUAGAUAUUCGCAAGAACACCAGUGGCGAAGGCGGCUCACUGGCCCGGUACUGACGCUGAGGUGCGAAAGCGUGGGGAGCAAACAGG
rnacentral:rRNA from 1 species